rnacentral:rRNA from 1 species
UACCCGCAGCACAAGUGGUGGUCAUUAUUAUUGGGCCUAAAGCGUCCGUAGCUGGCCUGUUAGAUGCCUGGGUAAAUCGAUGCGCUCAACGUAUCGAACUCCGGGUAGACCGGCAGGCUUGGGACCGGGAGAGAUGUGAGCUACUCGAGGGGUAGGGGUAAAAUCCUGUAAUCCUUCGGGGAGGACCAGUGGUGAAGGCGUCACAUUAGAACGGCUCCGACAGUGAGGGACGAAGCCCUGGGGCGCAAACCGG